UACGGAGGGGGCAAGCGUUGUUCGGAAUUAUUGGGCGUAAAGGGCGCGUAGGCGGCCGGCCAAGUCGGGUGUGAAAUCCCUCGGCUCAACCGAGGAACUGCAUUCGAUACUGGUUGGCUAGAGUCCGGGAGGGGAUGGUGGAAUUCCCAGUGUAGCGGUGAAAUGCGUAGAUAUUGGGAAGAACACCGGUGGCGAAGGCGGCCAUCUGGACCGGCACUGACGCUGAGGCGCGAAAGCCAGGGGAGCGAAUGGG
rnacentral:misc_RNA from 1 species